rnacentral:sRNA from 1 species
UGGAAAUGUAAUGAUGAAAAUGCCAGGCAUGAGUCAUUUCCAGAAAUCUCUGUACCUAGGAAUUAGAGAGGACCCAUGUCAGUCGGGAAACAUUAACAGUAAGUAAACAGACAUUAACUCUGCUUCUGAACCAUGCCACAGGGUUUCUCUGGGUCCAUUGGUAUCAUUGGAUACAUUUAAAGUCUCAGCAAAGACAUAGAGAGUACUGCAUUCAUCUCUGGCAGCCAGAGUCUGGCCCAGUCAAUGUAUUGUGUCUGUUUUUCUCCAGGUGCUUCAACAGCCAUACUAAGCCUGGGUCCCUGUUCCCAGGUGUGUGCCAUUCCGUCGCUGUCUAAACUUGAUGCCAAUGCAGGUCUCCACAGUUAGUGGAAAAGAAAGAAUAAGAUAUAGAGAGGGGCAGGGCAAGCUGCAGGGUCAGAAGAGAGGGGUGGUUCGAGCAACUGAGGCAGAAUUGUGUAGCAACUGAUGAGCUGUUGGCUGUUAAGGAGCUUCUGUGACCUUUAAGAAACUUCACCCAAAUUCUAAUCAUCGGAGACACGCAAUGCUGGGACUGCCUUCUGGAGACAUCUGUGAAGGUCAGGCCUCUCUGAGAGUGCUGCCUCUCGCCUUGCUGCUCCUAAGGAGCUGCCCAGCAGCCCUCAAAGAGCAGCCUCAGUGUGUCUUCCUGAAACACCGAGACUGCUGGGAGGUGCCGAACUUCAUUUUCUUCGUUUUCUGUGGCUUCUGAGCGCAGAUCUCCAUGUGUGUCGAGCCAAUGAAUGACAGCUCUGACCUCACAAACUGACAAUGAGAAAAGAACAGAGAUCCAGACAGAUAUCAAAAGGAGGCAGAACCCUUGCACAGGAAUCCUCGUGGGUCCCUCUCUGCUUCAAGUUGGCGUAAGAAGAGAGAUUAAAGCAAGCGUGGAAAUCAGCUUCCAUUUUGAUUGUGCCCCAAUGGAAACUGUGCUGUCCCACACGUUGUAUUAACUGUUCUAGUGGGUUAAAAAAGUAAAUCCAGACUGAGGACUUAAAGGAGGCCUACUGAGUACCUUUGGAGCUACAGGGCUUAAGCCUGCCACCUCACAGAAGCAGAGCUAUGCUCGGUUACUAAUUUUCAUCUGCAUUGCUCAGCGCAGCCAAGACACUGGGACCUAGUGCGUAGUGUCACCUGCCUGCCAGUUUUCAGAUAGAUGCUGGACAUGAAGGUGAGAGAAGACAGGGCACAGCCUAUGCUUGCAUAAACCCUGAGAGUUCUUGCAUCUGAGAUGCUUCAAGCCCCAUAUCUCCCCUGAUAUAAAGCCACAAACAGCAUUUCCCUAAAUACCCUCCCCAGCCAUUCACUUGUCUGCUGCCAUUUAAGAGGAGGAGGAGGAGGAGGAGAGAGAAACAGAGAGUGAUGGGGAAGGGGAGUGAUCCUGUGCUCUUAGAAGGCCCUCUUUUAGCAGCUUAAUUACAAUCUUGGUUGUCACUCGGAAUGGUUGAAUGACAUAUUCUAGCCAGUGACUUCGGAAGCUGGCAGCCUGUCAGAAGUAGCUAGGGAACUUAGUGCAAAGUGCUGGUCCCUGGGCUCCAAACUCAUCCUACAGUCCCUUACCCAACCCCCACCUCAAAUUUCGGUGUGAAAGGGGACUUCUCUGUUGUUGAAGCAGUUUGAAAGUGCCCUUGACUGCCUAUGUUUGGUUCUUAGUUUCUGGAUUAAAAUGAACCUCAACCCUUCCACUUGACAUUGAUGUUCGGGAAGACAAUGUGUACACCUUAAUAGACUCAACCUCCAAAAAGGAGAAAACCUACAGACUGUAGGAGCAUCUAUUCACUAUUUGUUUAAUGUUUUUAUUCGACUUAUUACAGUUGAUGUAGAGAAACAUUUAGAAGAAAAUAUAUAGAAAUUAAAAAAUAUAUACCGUCCAAGGCCAGCCAUUGAGAGUAGUCCAAGGGGCUGAAAUAUUUUUUAGUUCAGGGCCAUGCCCAUGCCUCAGAGAAUUCCUGUGUCGUGUCAAUGCCGGUGUUGGUAGCAGAUAUGGAAGGAACAGAACUAAGGUUUCAAUGGUUUUCCUGCAGACCUUUCUUUAUAAACAAACAAACAAACAAAAUACUUCUAAAGUUUCCCAUGAAGCUUCUCAACUGCAAAAGAAACAAAGAAUAUCUAAG